AUUGAUAGAAGUUUGAUUGGUAAACUAAAAUGUGUCUAAGGGAUGAUGUUAGGGGAUUGGAGAUUGAAGAUACACACUAAUUCAAGGGUAAGUUUUUGUUAAAAUUUUUUUAGAAUUCAUAAUUGAGUUUUCAAAAAAUAUAUUUGAUUUUUUUAUUCAUAUGUUAACUUCAUAUGAAUCAUUGAUUUAUUUAGUUUUUCUAUUAUAUAAUUUUAUCUCGAGAAAUCAUUUUGCUAGCUAAAUCUAAAUUAAAUUCUAUGGUUUUCUCUAUUAUAUUAUUUUAUCUCGAGAAAUCAUUUUGCUAGCUAAUUCUAAAUUAAAUUUGAUGGUUUUCUCCAUUAUAUAAUUUUAUCUCAAGAAAUCAUUUUGCUAGCUAAUUCUAAUUUAAAUUCUAUUUAUGAUAUGAAGCGACCAUUGCCCUGCAAAGAUCACUUUCUAACAAACCGUUCUUGAAAAUUCUCUAACAACCCCUUCCCUCCAACGCUCUUCUAACUUUGUCUAUAUUCAAAUUACAGGCUGAGCAUAUAUGUGAAGGUGGUUACUAUGUUAGUGUAACCAUUUCUAAGUUUGUAAUAUGUUCAGUGUGAGGGUGGUGUGGUUACUAUGUUAGUGUAACCAUUUCUAAGUUUGUAAUAUGUUCAGUGAGCUUGUUUUCUUUAACUGUUCACAUAUAUUCAAAUUAUAUGUACAGGGUUUUCUCUACCUGUUCACAUAUAUUCAAAUUACAUGUACAGGUCGAGCGUAUAGAUUGUGAUAUGUUGUUGUAGUGGAUUUUUUUUUUUCUUUCUUUUUUUUUGGGUCUGGUGGGUGUUAAAGUAAUUCAUCCAGGGUAUCUAUUUUUUGGGUCUUUUGGUAGGACCGGGUGGGUCUUCUUUUGGGUCUUGUGGUAAGAUCAGGUAGGUCUUUAAGUAAUUGGUUGCAGGAUAUCUAACUUAUCGGGUAGGUCUUAAAGUAAUUGAUUGUAGAAUAUCUAAUUUUUUUUUUUUCACUCUUGUGCUAGGUAAUUGUUUUUGGAGGGACCAAACCAUUUUGAAAGUGAAUGAACAUAGGUAAUUAUUGGAGGGUUCAGGCAUGAGCUCCUCUCUUGUUUUCUGCUAAACUGAUAAAUGGAUUGAGUGGUUUAUUCAUUUUUGGUCAGGCGUCAGGUAUGAUCACGCUAAUUUAUUGUGGACAACCUGUUUUUUUUUUCUUUUUCUUUACAAUAGAUUGAAUGGUUUUGUUGGGCAUGACUUUUUCCUGAUAAACCAAUUAAGUAAUUGAUGAAGGUGGUUUUGUUAGAUAAUGAUUUUUCCGGAUAAACAAAUCAAUUAGACGUGGAUUUUUUUGGAUAAACAAAUCAACAACAAAUUGAUGAAGGUGGUUUUUUUAUCAACCUUUUUUUUUCUUUGUAAACCAACCAAGGUAUUAAUGAAAGUUGUUUUUUUUUUUUUAUUAUUUUUUUUUUUGCAAACCAAAAAAAUGACGAUAUCGG
rnacentral:lncRNA from 1 species